rnacentral:rRNA from 1 species
CCUACGGGUGGCAGCAGUGGGGAAUAUUGCACAAUGGGGGCAACCCUGAUGCAGCAACGCCGCGUGCUGGAAGACGGGUUUCGGAUUGUAAACCUCUGUUCGUAGGGAAGAAAAAUGACGGUAGCUAAGGAGGAAGCCACGGCUAACUACAUGCCAGCAGCCGCGGUAAUACGUAGGUGGCGAGCGUUGUCCGGAUUUACUGGGUGUAAAGGGAGCGCAGGCGGGAAGGCAAGUCAGAUGUGAAAACAACGGGCGUAACUCCGAGACUGCCUUUGAAACUGGUGUACUGGAGUGAAGUUGCGGUAGGCGGAAGUCCGGGUGUAGCGGUGAAAUGCGUAGAGAUCAGGAGGAACACCGGUGGCGAAGGCGGCCUACUGGACUGUAACUGACGUUGAGGCUCGAAAGCGUGGGGAGCAAACAGGAUUAGAUACCCGGGUAGUC